UACGUAGGGGGCAAGCGUUGUCCGGAAUUAUUGGGCGUAAAGAGCUCGUAGGCGGUCUGUCGCGUCGAAUGUGAAAACCCGGGGCUCAACUCCGGGCUUGCAUUCGAUACGGGCAGACUAGAGUUCGGUAGGGGAGACUGGAAUUCCUGGUGUAGCGGUGAAAUGCGCAGAUAUCAGGAGGAACACCGGUGGCGAAGGCGGGUCUCUGGGCCGAUACUGACGCUGAGGAGCGAAAGCGUGGGGAGCAAACAGG
rnacentral:rRNA from 1 species